AUUGAACGCUGGCGGCAGGCCUAACACAUGCCAGUCGAGCGGAUGAAUGGAGCUUGCUCCUGGAUUCAGCGGCGGACGGGUGAGUAAUGCCUAUGAAUCUGCCUUGUCGUGGGGGAUAACGUCCGGAAACGGGCGCUAAUACCGCAUCCGUCCUGAGGGAGAAAGUGGGGGAUCUUCGGACCUCACGCUAUCAGAUGAGCCUAGGUCGGAUUAGCUAGUUGGUGGGGUAAAGGCCUACCAAGGCGGCGAACCGUAACUGGUCUGAGAGGAUGAUCAGUCACACUGGAACUGAGACACGGUCCAGACUCCUACGGGAGGAAGCAGUGGGGAAUAUUGGACGAUGGGCGAAAGCGUGAUCCGGCCAUGCCGCGUGUGUGAAGAAGGUCUUAGGAUUGUAAAGCACUUUAAGUUGGGAGGAAGGGCAGUAAGUUAAUACCUGGCUGUUUUGACGGUACCAACAGAAUAAGCACCGGCUAACUUCGUG
rnacentral:rRNA from 1 species